rnacentral:tRNA from 1 species
GGGCAGAUGGCUCAGUGGGUAAGAGCACUUGCUUUGAAAGCAAGAGGACUUGAGUUCAAAUCCCUAUCACCCA